rnacentral:sRNA from 1 species
GCCUAGCCCAGACAGGAACGGCAUCCUUUUUCUGCCUUCUUUAGGCAGGAAAAGAUAUAGUGGAUGGCUGGAUCAGCU